rnacentral:rRNA from 1 species
AUGCAAGUAGAACGCUGAAGGAGGAGCUUGCUCUCUCUGGAUGAGUUGCGAACGGGUGAGUAACGCGUAGGUAACCUGCCUGGUAGUGGGGGAUAACUAUUGGAAACGAUAGCUAAUACCGCAUAACAGUAGAUGUUGCAUGACAUUUGCUUAAAAGGUGCAAUUGCAUCACUACCAGAUGGACCUGCGUUGUAUUAGCUAGUUGGUGGGGUAACGGCUCACCAAGGCGACGAUACAUAGCCGACCUGAGAGGGUGAUCGGCCACACUGGGACUGAGACACGGCCCAAACUCCUACGGGAGGCAGCAGUAGGGAAUCUUCGGCAAUGGACGGAAGUCUGACCGAGCAACGCCGCGUGAGUGAAGAAGGUUUUCGGAUCGUAAAGCUCUGUUGUAAGAGAAGAACGAGUGUGAGAGUGGAAAGUUCACACUGUGACGGUAUCUUACCAGAAAGGGACGGCUAACUACGUGCCAGCAGCCGCGGUAAUACGUAGGUCCCGAGCGUUGUCCGGAUUUAUUGGGCGUAAAGCGAGCGCAGGCGGUUAGAUAAGUCUGAAGUUAAAGGCUGUGGCUUAACCAUAGUACGCUUUGGAAACUGUUUAACUUGAGUGCAAGAGGGGAGAGUGGAAUUCCAUGUGUAGCGGUGAAAUGCGUAGAUAUAUGGAGGAACACCGGUGGCGAAAGCGGCUCUCUGGCUUGUAACUGACGCUGAGGCUCGAAAGCGUGGGGAGCAAACAGGAUUAGAUACCCUGGUAGUCCACGCCGUAAACGAUGAGUGCUAGGUGUUAGACCCUUUCCGGGGUUUAGUGCCGUAGCUAACGCAUUAAGCACUCCGCCUGGGGAGUACGACCGCAAGGUUGAAACUCAAAGGAAUUGACGGGGGCCCGCACAAGCGG